rnacentral:rRNA from 1 species
UCGAGCGGUAGAGAGAAGCUUGCUUCUCUUGAGAGCGGCGGACGGGUGAGUAAUGCCUAGGAAUCUGCCUGGUAGUGGGGGAUAACGUUCGGAAACGGACGCUAAUACCGCAUACGUCCUACGGGAGAAAGCAGGGGACCUUCGGGCCUUGCGCUAUCAGAUGAGCCUAGGUCGGAUUAGCUAGUUGGUGGGGUAAUGGCUCACCAAGGCGACGAUCCGUAACUGGUCUGAGAGGAUGAUCAGUCACACUGGAACUGAGACACGGUCCAGACUCCUACGGGAGGCAGCAGUGGGGAAUAUUGGACAAUGGGCGAAAGCCUGAUCCAGCCAUGCCGCGUGUGUGAAGAAGGUCUUCGGAUUGUAAAGCACUUUAAGUUGGGAGGAAGGGUUGUAGAUUAAUACUCUGCAAUUUUGACGUUACCGACAGAAUAAGCACCGGCUAACUCUGUG